GUGGGGAAUAUUGCACAAUGGGGGAAACCCUGAUGCAGCGACGCCGCGUGAGUGAGGAAGUAUUUCGGUAUGUAAAACUCUAUCAGCAGGGAAGAUAAUGACGGUACCUGACUAAGAAGCACCGGCUAAAUACGUGCCAGCAGCCGCGGUAAUACGUAUGGUGCAAGCGUUAUCCGGAUUUACUGGGUGUAAAGGGUGCGUAGGUGGUAUGGCAAGUCAGAAGUGAAAGGCUGGGGCUUAACCCCGGGACUGCUUUUGAAACUGUCAAACUAGAGUACAGGAGAGGAAAGCGGAAUUCCUAGUGUAGCGGUGAAAUGCGUAGAUAUUAGGAGGAACACCAGUGGCGAAGGCGGCUUUCUGGACUGAAACUGACACUGAGGCACGAAAGCGUGGGGAGCAAACAGGAUUAGAAACCCUAGUAGUCC
rnacentral:rRNA from 1 species